GUUUAUAUUUGAUUUGUGCUAUUAUGUUAUACAUAAUAUGUGACACUUUAAAAUCUUUUUCAAAUUUAAUGUGUCUAGUAUUCCGUUUAAAACACUUCAAGAGCGUAUUAGACAGGUAACAGAUACAGGGAUGGAAGUGGUCAAUGGUUUGAAAAUAAGUGAAAUUUACAAUUGACUAAAAAGUGACUUUCGUACAAAAAUAACAUUAACAAAAAAUACACUUAUUUAACACCAAUAGUAAUAGUUAUAGGUAAUAAUUAUAAUAAUAUGAUAGGUUAGGAUUGGUAUUAUGAUAGGUUAACAACUAGGCUUUAUUAUAGAAUUUAG